UACGUAGGCAGCGAGCGUUGUUCGGAAUUACUGGGCGUAAAGAGUGUGUAGGCGGUGCUCCCAGUCUGUUGUGAAAUCUCCCGGCUUAACUGGGAGGGUGCAGCGGAAACUAGAGUGCUAGAGGGUGGGAGAGGUAAGCGGAAUUCCUGGUGUAGCGGUGAAAUGCGUAGAUAUCAGGAGGAACACCCGUGGUGUAGACAGCUUACUGGACCACUUCUGACGCUGAGACACGAAAGCGUGGGUAGCAAACAGG
rnacentral:rRNA from 1 species